ACCGCGCGAAAUACAAAUUUUGUUUCAGUUUCAGUGAUUUAAUUCUCAAAAACGAGUCUGUUAAAGUCCGCGCUGUGUAUCUGCUUAAAGAUAAAGUUCCUGCCACAUGUGUUAUUGAGUCAGAACUUAUUAAAGGACAAGAAUCUGACGACGGAAAAUCUCAUCAACGGCUAAACUGUUACCUGGAAAGUGAGAAAUGGAUAAAAAGACGUUGGUGAAGCGGCGCCCUGCUAAACCCUGAAGUUCGAUGGAAAAUGACCACGUCAAGGAGGGCUGCUGAGGUUGAGAGAGUCUCAGUGUCCGACAGAGAAGACCCGGGACUAUGAUGUAAAAGAGAAAAUUACAAGGAGGCCUGGAUCUCGGAAACUUAAAUAACUAGUGAAUCAGACGGGCCAUGCCAAUCCAUCUUAAGGCAGUCUGAGCUAUUAAAAUAAUGAAAUUAAAAAGUGAAUCAGACGGGCCAUGCCAAUCCAUCUUAAGGCAGUCUGAGCUAUUAAAAUAAUGAAAUUAAAAAGAGAGAAGAUCUGUCUGCGUCAGUGCUUUAGUGCAGAUGAAGGUGGCCGAACAGAUUUUCCCCAUGAAGGAGGUCCAGAAAGUGUACUUCACCAGCAAAUUCAACAAUGUGGACAAGCUAGGAAAACAAGAGGUGUAAUUCAUGUCACAAUUCACACCCCCACACACACUCAGACAUAGGACACAUCCAAGCACCCAAUACUGCCAUAAUUAAAUGCAUAAGGAAUGCUUAUGAAUUAGAUUUUUCAUUAUGUAUGUAUAGAGUUUAUAUAUACUGUAGAUUUAUACCACAAUACAUUAUUCAGUUAUAUAAUUGUAUAUAUUACUGUAUAAUAAAAUUAUAUUAUUGUAUAAUUACCAUCGUAAAAUAAAUUAUUAAGUGUAAUAUAAUUAUGUUAUUAUAUAACAAAUACAAUCUAUUACCAUUAUUUUUUAUAUUACUAUUAUUUUAAUGCAUUUAACAUUACAUUAUAGAAUGCCAAGUUGGUACAUGUGUUAUCAGUUUACCAUUUAGAAGGAAUUCUUACCAGUUGUUUUUGUGCGUGUUUGAAAUUAUACCGUUGCUGAAUAAAUGGAGU